rnacentral:misc_RNA from 1 species
AAGUCGUAACAAGGUUUCCGUAGGUGAACCUGCGGAAGGAUCAUUAACGAGUUUUGAAGUGGGCUUGAUGCUGGCUCGUAACAGAGCACUGUGCUCAGCCCCGCUCCAAUCCAUUCAACCCCUGUGCACUAUUCGGAGUGUUGCAAGCUGAGACAAUGUGGGAUCAGUUGUGUUUCUAAUGCGACUGGGACCAAACGGUCAAGGCUUGUCCUCCGGUUUAUAUUACAAACACUUUUAUUGUCUUGUAGAAUGUAUUAGCCUCUUGUUAGGCGAAACUUAAAUACAACUUUCAACAACGGAUCUCUUGGCUCUC